GCUGAAUAACGCAAUUAUUCUGUUUCUCGAAGAGCAGCUUGCUUCUGCUUUGCCUUUGUUUGCAACAGAUGAAGUAAACCAGCGAUCCGACCUGAAAAGCUAAAGUGGAGAAGAGGAAGCCGAGGACCAGACGCUGGUAUGACACAUGGCCAAUCAGCUUCUUCACAGCAUUCAGCUUCCUCUUCGGCUCUUGUCCUCGUCCUCUGGCUGUGCUUCUGCUGCUCUCUCUUCACCCGUCAGCUGUGGCGGCAGAGGAAUGCGCUGGCCCAGAAAGAAGCCUUCCUCCCCAGAGUCUGA